UACAUGGGGUGCAAACGUUGCUCGGAAUUAUUGGGCGUAAAGGGCUCGUAGGCGGUCUGUUGCGUCGGGAGUGAAAACUCAGGGCUUAACCCUGAGCCUGCUUCCGAUACGGGCAGACUAGAGGUAUGCAGGGGAGAACGGAAUUCCUGGUGUAGCGGUGAAAUGCGCAGAUAUCAGGAGGAACACCGGUGGCGAAGGCGGUUCUCUGGGCAUUACCUGACGCUGAGGAGCGAAAGCCAGGGGAGCGAACGGG
rnacentral:rRNA from 1 species